rnacentral:rRNA from 1 species
ACAACUCUAGAGAUAGAGCCUUCCCCUUCGGGGGACAAAGUGACAGGUGGUGCAUGGUUGUCGUCAGCUCGUGUCGUGAGAUGUUGGGUUAAGUCCCGCAACGAGCGCAACCCUUAAGCUUAGUUGCCAUCAUUAAGUUGGGCACUCUAAGUUGACUGCCGGUGACAAACCGGAGGAAGGUGGGGAUGACGUCAAAUCAUCAUGCCCCUUAUGAUUUGGGCUACACACGUGCUACAAUGGACAAUACAAAGGGCAGCGAAACCGCGAGGUCAAGCAAAUCCCAU